rnacentral:rRNA from 1 species
AUUGAACGCUGGCGGCAUGCCUUACACAUGCAAGUCGAACGGCAGCACGGACUUCGGUCUGGUGGCGAGUGGCGAACGGGUGAGUAAUGCAUCGGAACGUGCCAUUGAGUGGGGGAUAACGUAGCGAAAGUUGCGCUAAUACCGCAUAUUCUGUGAGCAGGAAAGCAGGGGACCGCAAGGCCUUGCGCUCUUUGAGCGGCCGAUGUCAGAUUAGCUAGUUGGUGAGGUAAAGGCUUACCAAGGCGACGAUCUGUAGCGGGUCUGAGAGGAUGAUCCGCCACACUGGAACUGAGACACGGUCCAGACUCCUACGGGAGGCAGCAGUGGGGAAUUUUGGACAAUGGGGGCAACCCUGAUCCAGCCAUACCGCGUGAGUGAAGAAGGCCUCGG